UACGGAGGGUGCAAACGUUGCUCGGAAUCAUUAGGCGUAAAGCGCACGUAGGCGGCCUGUUAAGUCGGAUGUGAAAGCCCCGGGCUCAACCCGGGAAGUGCAUUCGAAACUGGCGGGCUUGAAUAUGGAAGAGGGUCGCGGAAUUCCCGGUGUAGAGGUGAAAUUCGUAGAUAUCGGGAGGAACACCAGUGGCGAAGGCGGCGACCUGGGCCAAUAUUGACGCUGAGGUGCGAAAGCGUGGGGAGCAAACAGG
rnacentral:rRNA from 1 species